AUUGCCUACAGAGCAGGUGCAUUGUUGAGGGGUCACAACACUAAUAACUAUUGCGAAUCAACAAUGUGCAUCAUAAAGGAUAAUGUCCUUAAUAGAUGUAAGGCAUAUAACACUGCACAACUUGUAAUGUUUAUGGCUGAAAUCUUCAACUCCUUUAUGAAACAACGGAUAGUGGAUGUAGCACUCAACAGAAGGCAUACGAAGAGAAUGAAUGUCACCAAACUGCCUUUAGAAAGUGUUGUACCCUUGGGGAGUGGGUUGUACCGAGUGGGAAGUGAAACUAAUCCAGGACAAAUGUAUGAGGUGGAUCUAAAUAUUGGUAUUUGCACGUGCACAAAAGGAAAUACUGGUGCAGUCUGCAAACACCAAGCUGUAUGUGCAGACAGUGCAAAUCUAACAGUUCCUCAAAUGCCUAUGCUGAACAGUAAUACCCGUCACCAGUUGGCAGUGUUGGCUCUAGGGCAGAAGGACGCCCCCAGUGAAAAUUUCUUCAAGACACUGAAAGAAAUUAAAAGUGAUGAAGCUAGUAAAAGCAACAUUGAAGCUGCAGUGAAGUUUGGAAAGAGUGAGGAAGCCUGUGAAUUAAAUUUUGAGGUCAAAGGGGAUGCUGAAGAAAUUUCUCCUAGCUGCAGUAUGGAAACAGCAUCGGUGUCAUCUCAAACUAGCAGUGAUCAUGGGGGCUCUUCAUCUUUAGCUGACAACAUUCAUGAUGAGACCAAUAUUGCUGUAGCAGAGCUUUUAAAAACAUCCAAAAAAUUUGGUAAUGAGGAUUCAGUCUCAGCUCUUAAAAUGUUCGUCCAGAGGCUAAGAUCUGUUAAAACCUCAAAUCAAUUUAACAGCUUUCUUCACACUGUGGGUGUGGGUGUGUGUGUGCAAAAGGGAGCUAAACGUCCUCGAAACCUAGCGGAAAAUGUUAGGAACAAUGUGGCCAAUGCCAAAUCACAUGGUAGUGGUCACUAAGUCAUCCUUCUCCUGAAUCUCAUGCUCUUUAUAUUUCUGCCAGAAAUCAUGCCAGACCUGAUCUCUAAUUAGCCAAAAACUCCUUCAUCAAUUGAAAAUAUCAAAACCUGUUACCUUCUAACUCCCCUCGUGAUUUCUGGCAUCUAGCCAAAAAAAUCUCCAAUUUCUCUUCUUCUUUCCGUCCUCUAUUUCAACCCGAUGGGUCCACAUCAGUCACUUUCUAUCUCUAAGGCUGAACUCUUUGCUCAAACCUUUGCCGAAAACUCAACUCUGGCUGAUUCUGGUCUUGUUCCUCCUUCUCCACCCAACUCUGACUAUUAAGAUUCUUUGUAAUUAUGUUUUUCAUACCCUCUCUGGAUUUAAUCUUCGGGAGACUUGAGGACCUGAAGGAGUCCUUCCUAUUGUUCUCAAAAAUUGUGCUUCUGAGCUCACACCCUGCCUGGUAAAACUUUUCCAUUUCUGCCUACCUAAAUCUACUUUUCCUUAAUCCUGGAAGUUUUUACUCAUACAGCUUGUUCCUAAGAUGGGUGACUGCUUCACUUUGGGUGUGGCAAUCUAAGUGGGCUUUUUUGUUUAUCAAUCAAUUUCUUUUAGUUUUGCCCUUGGCCACCACACAUGAUGUAAAAAAAAAAAGUACGUAUCAUUUGGUACUGCACUACAAUGUACGCUAACCCAUACUCUGCAUCGCUCCAAAAUCCUUUUAAACACUAAUUCCAGGCUCACACUGAUAUGCUUCCAUUUUUUUGUACCAUUGGUGACCAAAUUGAAUGGUAUUACCACUGUAAAUUAGGACUGUUAAUUAAGUAUAGCUAUUCUGAAAUUAU